rnacentral:rRNA from 1 species
AUGAAGAUAACGGCUUGGAACUGCCGGGGAUUGGGGAAUGGCCCGACAGUUCGGGGACUUCUGGACCUCCAGAAGCAGGUGGACCCUGAUGUACUAUUUCUAUCUGAGACAAAAAUGAGUGAAAACAGGAUGACUUGGUUCAAGAGUGUGAUGGGGAUGUCAAGCAUGAUUGUGAGGGACUGUGAAGGGAAAAGUGGUGGCCUGGCCCUAUUGUGGAAAAGACAUGUCAAAGUGGAACUCCACAAUUAUUCCAAAUAUCAUGUGGAUGUGCAAAUCAUCGAGGAAGACGGCUUUAAGUGGAGAUUCACUAGAAUUUAUGGAGAACUGGCAGCAGACAAAAAAGAGAGGACAUGGCGAUUGAUGAGAAUCCUCAACCAACAAAUGAAGCUCCCAUGGCUAUGUGCGGGGGACUUCAAUGAAGUGUUAUAUGGGCAUGAAAAAAAGGGAGGACCGCCACGCAGCCAAAAACAUAUGGAGAAGUUCAGGAUGGCGUUAGUUGAAUGUGGCCUACGUGAUCUAGGUUUUACCGGAGACAAAUUCACAUGGUGCAACAAUAGUCAUCAAGCUGGCCACUAUAUAAAAGAGAGACUAGACCGAGCAGUGGGGUCCAGGAGUUGGUGUGCUCGCUUUCCUGCCCAUAGAGUAAUUAACGGAGACCCGAGACACUCAGAUCAUAGACCAGUCACCAUUUUGAUUGAGGAGUCACAUAAAAUGCCUAGAAGUAUUAAUAGCAGAAAUGUUUUUAGAUUCGAAGCUAAGUGGCUGGAUGAGGAAGACUGUGAAGUCGUUGUUAAAAAUGCCUGGAACGCUUCGAACAUGCAAAAUGCGGGAAAUGGCAGUGUAUCGCAAGGGCUCCAAUAUGUGGCCAGGGAACUUAAAGAAUGGGAUGAAAAUUCGCUUGGGGACCUGCAUAAGAGAAUUAAAUUAGUGAAGCGGGAGCUAGAGGAAGUAAGAAGGGACGAAAUAAAUCAGGAAAGAGUAAACCGGGAACAUUUCUUAAAAGAAAAACUGAAUCGGUUAGAACAACAACAAGACACAACCUGGAAGCAACGAGCGCACGUCAAGUGGCUUCACUCGGGAGAUAAAAAUACAGCAUUUUUCCAUGCAUUUGCUUCAGAGAGGAAAAGGAGAAACACCAUCAAAAGGCUGAAGCGAGAUGAUGGAUCAUUGAUUGAUAAUGUUGAGCAGUUGAAGGAACACAUCGCUAACUAUUUUUUUAGCAUAUUUUCCUCGACAACGGGGCAAAAUAAUGAGGAGGUGCUUCGUGUGAUCCAGCCUAGAGUGACGAGCCAAAUGAAUGAAAUUCUCUGCUCAGAGUACAGUGAGGAAGAAGUAAAGAAUGCUCUUGACAGCAUAGGGGAUUUGAAGGCACCAGGGCCUGAUGGAAUGCCGGCAGUUUUCUUCAAAAAGUUCUGGAGCAUAGUGGGUGAUCAGGUAACGAAAGAGGUGCUCCACGUGCUAAGGGGGGGGCGACAUUCCAGAAGGCUGGAACAAUACCAUAAGCCUUUGCAAUGUGGUUUACAAGCUGAUAGCAAAGAAGAAAAGAAAUGGAGCCAAAGGAUAUGCAGUUACCAAACUUGA